rnacentral:lncRNA from 1 species
AUUUGGUUUGAGAAGGAAUUGGAAUCAUGGCGUUAUCCUACCUUCACCAUUUACCCCUGAUAAAUUGUCCACGUUUAUAUUUGGGAAUCAUAUUGACAGGUCAUGAAAAUGAGACCAAAAGAUCUCUGGAAGCGAUUAAUGAUAAAAUUUCAUGGAGAAGAAGGCCUUGACUACGGAGGGGUUGCCAGAAGGACCCUUCUUUGAAUGAAACAAUAAGAUUCAUAUAAGCAACAGGUCUGAGCUGAGGUGUCAUCUCUGAACACCAGGCUGCUGCACUAACCAGAAGACCCCUCCCCCCCCUGCAGUGGCCUCGCUGCAUCGUAAGGACGGAGGAGCUGUUGUCUCCACAGCUGACAGUUCUAGAAACUGAGAAAAUCAAGAUAAAG